rnacentral:miRNA from 2 species
UAUUCAGAUUGGUGCCUGUCAU